CAAAGCUACUAAGGGCUCACGGUGGAUGCCUUGGUGCUAGGCGGCGAUGAAGGGCGUGACAGACUGCGAUAAGCUUCGGGUAGUUGUUUAUAUGCUUUGAUCCGAAGAUUCCCGAAUCGGGCAACCGGAUAGGUAGUAAUACCUAUCGCCUGUGCGGUAACAGUACAGGCGCGAACCAGGAGAAGUGAAACAUCUCAGUACCCUGAGGAAAAGAAAGAAAACUCGAUUUCCCGAGUAGCGGCGAGCGAAACGGAAUCAGCCUAAACCAGGCAUACACGUUAUGUCUGGGGUUGUGGGACCUUCAAACAGGCAGCGGUCUUUUAGCUUAACGUCCCUGGAAUAGGGCGACCAGAGAAGGUUACAGUCCUGUGAGUGAAAAGAGACACCUGCUUAGAAGGAAUCCCGAGUACCACGGGAUAGACGAACCUGUGGGAAUCCAGGAGGACCACCUCCUAAGGCUAAAUACGUCCUAGCGACCGAUAGUGAACAAGUACUGUGAAGGAAAGGUGAAAAGUUCCCCUGUUAGGGAAGUGAAAUAGAACCUGAAACCGUGAGCUUACAAGCUGUGGAAGUGCGAGAUCGGGCAACCGAUGUGCAUGACCGCGUGCCUUUUGCAUAAUGAGCCGGUGACUUACUUUACGUAGCAAGAUUAAGCUUUUCCGAAGCGGAGUCGUAGCGAAAGCGAGUCUGAAUAGGGCGAUAAGUUGCGUGGAGUAGACCCGAAACUGGGUGAUCUAUCCAUGGGCAGGAUGAAGCAUAUGUAGAAGUAUGUGGAGGUCCGAACCCACCAGGGCUGAAAACCUGGGGGAUGACCUGUGGAUCGGAGUGAAAGGCUAAUCAAACCCAGUGAUAGCUGGUUCUCCUCGAAAUAGCUUUAGGGCUAGCCUCAUGUGUUUGGCAAUGGUGGUAGAGCUCUGGUUGGACUAGCGGGACUACCAUCUUAGCAACUCCAGUCAAACUGCAAAUGCCAUUGCCUGAAGCAUGGGAGUCAGUCUGCGGGGGAUAAGCUCCGUUGACGAAAGGGAAACAGCCCAGAUCGCCAGCUAAGGUCCCAAAAUACAAGCUAAGUGGUAAAGGAUGUAAUGUUACACAGACAACCAGGAUGUUGGCUUAGAAGCAGCCAUUCAUUUAAAGAGUGCGUAACUGCUCACUGGUCGAGUGACUUUGCACCGAAAAUGUACCGGGGCUAAGCUUGUUACCGAAGCUGCGGAUUCUAAUCUAAUAGACUAGAGUGGUAGAGGAGCGUUCUAUUGUAGGACGAAGGUAAAUCGAAAGACUUACUGGACGAACUAGAAGUGACCAUGCCGGCAUAAGUAGCGAUAAAACAUGUGAGAAGCGUGUUCACCGAAAACCUAAGGUUUCCUAGGGCAAGGCAAAUCCGCCCGGGGUUAGUCGUAUCCUAAGGCGAGGCCGAAAGGCGUAGUCGAUGGGAAUCAGGUUAAUAUUCCUGAACCACCGAGGGAGAUUGAAAUACCAAGGGACGCAAAAUAUGAGAACUGAAUAGGUGAUGGUCCGAAGCGUCAAGGGCUUCUUCUCUUAAUAAGAAGCUUCAGUUUGAUUUUUUGCCGAGAAAAGCUUGGUGUGGACGAACUUUGGUGUACGUACCGUAAACCGACACAGGUAGGUGAGGAGAGAAUCCUAAGGUGCUCGAGAGAACUCUGGCUAAGGAACUCGGCAAAAUGAUCCCGUAACUUCGGAAGAAGGGAUGCUCGCAAGAGCCGCAGUGAAAUGGCCUAUGCGACUGUUUACUAAAAACACAGGUCUGUGCUAAAUCGCAAGAUGAUGUAUACGGACUGACGCCUGCCCGGUGCCGAAAGGUUAUGGUGAUGGGUGAAGGGGCAACCUGGAAGCUUUGACCCGAAGCCUCGGUGAACGGCGGCGGUAACUAUAACCGUCCUAAGGUAGCGAAAUUCCUCGUCGGGUAAAAUCCGACCUGCACGAAUGGCGUAACGACAUAGGCACUGUCUCGGCCAGAGACUCGGCGAAAUUGUAAUACCGGUGAAGAUGCCGGUUACCCAUAGAAAGACGGAAAGACCCCGUGAACCUUUACUAUAACCUGAUAUUGGGUUUUGGUGUAGCAUGUGUAGGAUAGGUGGGAGACUUUGAAGUUUAAGUAGUGCUGCUUUAUCUGGUGGUGUCACAUCAGUAGUUUCGAUGCCCAACACAAGCCCGGUAAUAGACAAUGUGUCUAUGGUAGAUUUUAUACUUAGAAGAGGAAGGUACAAAGCCGGUAUAAAUAUUUAUCCAUCAGCAACUUUGACAAGAAAAA
rnacentral:rRNA from 1 species